CUUCAGGUAAAGAGGUGGGACAAUGAUGCUGACAGGACAGGAGGAGGUGACAUUCAGACAUUCAGCGCAGACACUUUCAUCCAAAGCAACUUGAGGAAGAAAACAAGUAGCAGUUCAUCCUAAAAGUGGGCUGCUGUAAUGUUUACAUCUAUGGAAAGAGGAGCUGAGAAGAAAAGAGAGGCUGGAAAACAGUACUUCUUGUUGACGACAAUCCUAAAUAGGAACACUUUCUCAUACACAUAGAUUAUUAUUAGUGUUUGAUUUUUUUUCUUUUUCAUUUUUAUUAAUUGUAUUGUUUUAAUUUUUCGUUUUAUUUGAAAUUACCCAAUUUUAGAUUCAUGCUAAUACUUUAAC